GCAGGUUUCUUCUUUCUGGAUCAGAAGACUUCAGUCUGGUGUAAAUCUAAAUGGAACAACAUAUGGUCAGAGAUCAUACCACGGAUCAUUGGUUCUAGCAUAAAAGAAUCCUGCAAAGUCAAGCUACAAACACAAAUUUGGGCUGGAUAUAUGAAAGUUCAAAUUUGGAGAACAAGGAGAUAAAACCAGGAUGUGAGAUAUGAGAUAUACUACUUACCAGCCAGACAUCCAGCAAAUACGUUGUAGUCUUUUUGAGGAUUACAGACGAAAACUCCUUAUGCGCUGUUUCCAUUCCCUUGUGGGGAAGAGCACUACAAAGACUGGCUCUGCUAUAUCAUCUGGGAACAAAGACAAGACACUCCCACUUCUUGCUAUCUCUCACUCAAAACUAAACUCAGGUGGAAAUAUCAUUCCUUGUGUAUUGCUUUGAUUAGUGGGAUGAUAUUGGGUCCAGGGCUAAAUGCUUAAAUACUUUAAUACAUAUUUUUUAAAGCAUUGGAUUUACUGGAACUCUUUUCUCCUGACUAUUAAUAUGAGUAUAAUGGUCCCGAUUGUUUUGUCACAUCUAUGCUACACAACCGGAGCCUACAUUUGAACUGAGGCUGACUUUAAUUAUCGAAUUAACACAAUUUCAUGGUUGAUAUGCUUCUUUCUCACCUCUGGGCUUUAUAUUUACUGGUCUGCUGUGAUCUUUUUGCCUAUUGGUGCAAGAAGAAAUUAAUGCAUUUUCUUGUUGCUCAUGCGUUACUAUCCAGAACAAUUACAAAUUAAAUUUUACCUAAAGAAAUAUAGUCCUGGAUCAGAACUUUUUCUUACAGCUCCUUACAUUUAAAAAUAAACGAAACCUUUCAUUAAACA
rnacentral:lncRNA from 1 species